CCCUUAGAUGUUCUGGGCCGCACGCGUGCUACACUGAGUAAUUCAAUGGGUAAGGGAACGCUAGAGCAUUACCUAAUCUUGAAAUUUGCUCGUGAUGGGGAUCGACGGUUGCAAUUUUCCGUCGUGAACGAGGAAUGCCUUGUAGGCGCAUGUCAUCAUCAUGCGCCGAAUACGUCCCUGCCCUUUGUACACACCGCUCGUCGCUCCUACCGAUUGAGUGAUCCGGUGAGGCUCUGGGACCUGGACGGAAAGAGCGUUUCGCUUGUUCUGUUUGGGAAACUUGGUCGAACCUUAUCAUUUAGAGGAAGGAGAAGUCGUAACA
rnacentral:rRNA from 1 species